GUCAGUUAGAUGACUUUGCAGGUAAAGGCAACGGUCAGCAAUCCUGACUGCAGUUCAGCCCUGGGGCACACAGGGAAGAAGAGAACUGUCUUGGAAAAGCUGUCCUCUGAUAUUCAUAUGUACCACCCACAUGCCCACUGUGAGGGUUUGAAUGAGAAUGGCACCUAUGGGCUCUUAUAUUUGAGUGCUUGCCACCUAUGGCUUUGUUAGAGGAAGUGUAUCCCUAGGAGUGAACUCAGACCAUUUCCUCUCCCUCUCCCUCUCCACCUCCCUCUCCACCUCCCUCUCCACCUCCCUCUCCACCUCCCUCUCCACCUCAGUCUUAUACUUGUGUAUCAGGAUGUAGGUUCUCAGCUACUAUCCAGUGCCAUGCCUGCCUGCCUACCUGCCUGCUGUCAUGCUCCCCCCAUGACAGUCAUGGACUCACCCUUGGAAACUGAAAGCCCCUUAUAAACUCUUUCUUCUACAGGUUUCCUUGGACUGAGCAUAGCAAUGAAAAAGUAACUGAGACACCAACACACAAAACACAUAAAAUAAGUACAUGUAAUUUUAAAAAUAUUAAUGGUUUUUGACCAAAAUAUAAAACCUAAGUUAUUUGAUAAGUUGAACUUAAAAUUUUAUAUCUAUGAUCCUCAAAAGAUCAUAAUAAUGAAAAAAAAUUGAGAAAACAUAUACACAAACAUACGAUAAAAGCCUCAUGGCAGAAUGUUAAAUCUAAAAAGUCAGUAAUAAAAACAAUUUCAUUUUAAAAAGAGAUGGGGAAAGGUGCUUAAGAAGGCCGUUGUGAAAGGAUAUUAGUAAUUAGGGAUAUCAAAAGCCAAAGAGAGCUAUCUUUUUUAUCAUUUGUAAUGGCUCCAUUUUUGAAAUUGACAUGAGCUACUGGUCAAAAUGCAGCAAGGCAUAACCAGCUAAGCAGAUGGUUUGGCGACCCUUUUUACAAAGCUAAAAUACUUUACCUAGCAAUGCCACUCCAAGGUGUCAAUUCAAGGGAAAGGAAUAUUAAAUUCAUAUGAAAACCUGUGUAUACGGAUGCUUUUGCUGACUCUACAUCCAUUUUCCAAGAGCUGGAAAUGGUUCAAAUGUCCUUCAACUUGUGAACGCACAGCCAACUUGCAGGAAGUCUGUACGAUAGGAGACUGCUCAACAAGAAAAAGGAAUACAUUUAUACUCAACUGACAUGGUGUCUUAGAUACUUUUCUAUCUCUGUGGAAAGACAACAUGACCAAGGUAACACACAAAAGGAAGCAUUUAAUUAGAGACUUGCUUACAGUUUCUGAGCCCACGAUCAUCAUGGUGGGAUGAGUGGUGGCGGCAGGCAGGCAGGCGCUAGAGUAGCAGCUGAGGGCUCACAUCUGAUCCAUAAGCACAAGGCAAAGAGAGAGCUACCUGGGAAUGGUAUGGCCUUGUAAGCCUUAAAGUUUGUCCCCAGUGAUAAAUCCUCCUCCAAGAAGACCACCCCUCCCAACCCCUCCUGUCUUAGAUCUCAUGGAGGCAUUUCCUCAACUAAAGCUCCUUUCACUGAUAACUCCAGCUGUGUCAAGUUGACACAAAACUAGCCAGUACAAUUGACCCCUUGUCAACUUGACACCCAAACACAUCACUAGUAAGCCUCAACCCUUACAUUCUUAUUCAUCCCCAAGAUCUAAAUAACUUUAAAAGUCCCACAGUCUUUACAUAUUCUUAAAAUUUCAAUCUCUUUAAAAUACCCAUCUCUUUUAAAACCCAAAGUCUUUUUACAAUUAAAAGUCUCUUAACUGUGGGCUCCACUAAAAUAGUUUCUUCCUUCAAGAGGGAAAACUAUCAGGGCACAGUCACAAUCAAAAGCAAAAAUCAAUCACCAACCGUCCAAUGUCUGGGAUCCAACUCACGAUCUUCUGGCUCCUCCAAGGGCUUGGGUCACUUCUCCCUUUGUAGCACACGUGUCGUCCUCUAGGCUCCAGAUGCCUGUACUCCACUGCUGCUGCUCUUGGUGGUCAUCUCAUGAUACUGGCAUCUCCAAAACACUGCAUGACCCCUUCAGUCCUGGGCCAUCAAUUCCAACUGAGGUUGCACCUUCACCAAUGGCCUUCCAUGGCCUCUCACAGUGCCAAGCCUCAGCUGCUCUGCGUGACCCCUUCAUGCCUUCAAAACCAGUACUACCUGGGUGACCCUUACACAUUACCAAGUCCCGCUGCAGCAGGAGUACAACCGUGGCUAUCUCUAGAACACAGCCACUGUGCUCUCAGAAAACACUUCCCAGAAGAUGUCACCUCAAUGAUGCUGGUCUCUUCUUAAUCACAGCUAAUUUCUUAGCUCCAGCUAACCAGCAUCAAUAGUCCCAGUAAUGCAAAGGUUUUGCUUUAGUAGUUCUGGUAUCUUGUUAAUCAUAGCUGAUUCUUCAGCCCCCGCUAACCAGAACCACAGAAUCUUCUCAAUCAAAAUAGCAAUGGCCCUGAAAAGAGUCUUUAAUUUUCCCUCUGAAAUUUCACAAGCCAGGCCUCCAUUUUCUGCACUGUUCUCAACAUUAUCUUCCAAGCUCCUAUACAACAUCCCACAGAGUUCUUAACACCAAAUAGAUCUUCUAGCCCAAAGUUCCAAAGUCCUUCCACAGUCCUCCCCAAAACAUGGUCAGGUUGUCACAGGAAUACCCCACUAUGCUGGUACCAAUUUGUCUUAGUCAAGGUUUCUAUUCCUGCACAAACAUCAUGACCAAGAAGCAGUUGGGGAGGAAAGGGUUUAUUCAGCUUACAUUUCCACAUAGCUGUUCAUCACUGAAAGAAGUCAGGACUGGAACUCAAGCAGGUCAGGAAGCAGGAGCUGAUGCAGGGGCCAUGGAGGGAUGUUCUUUACUGGCUUGCUUCCUCUGGCUUGCUCAGCCUGCUCUCUUAUAGAACCGAGACUACCAGCUCAGAGAUGGUCCCAUCCACAAGGGGCCUUUCCCCCUUGAUCACUAAUUGAGAAAAUGCCUUACAGUUGGAUCUCAUGGAGGCAUUUUCACAACUAAAGCUCCUUUCUCUGUGAUAACUCCAGCUGUGUCAAGUUGACACAAAACUAGCCAGUACACCUCCCAAAUAGUUCUAUCAACUGGGGAUCAAACAUUCAAAUACAUGAUCCUAGGCAGGCCAUUCUCAUUCAAAUCCCCACACGUAGAUUAAUAUCAUCUUCAUUUACAUUAAGUGAAAGACUCCAGGAUAAAAGCUACAUAAUAAUUCUAUUUAUAUGGUACUAUGUAGAUAUAACAAGAGGAGCUAAAGAGAAAGUACAAAGUACGCAUUAACUAAGGCUGCAGGUAGGGAAGCUGUUGAUCACAAAGUAGACUGACAGCUUCUUGGGCAGCAAAACUGACUUCUAUCUUGACUGUGGUGAUAGUUAAAUGGCUUUGUGUUUGUCAAAAUACACAGAACUAUAAACUUAUAAAGAUGAAUUAUACUUCAAGAAAUUAUAUGGGAAGAGAAUUUCAGGGAGAAAGUGAUCAUUUAUGGUUACAAUUCUAGGUCUAUAACAAAAUGGCAUUUAAUUCUCUGCAGACACCAAUUGCCUUCUUACACACACACACACACACACACACACACACACACACACACACACAUACCCCUCCACACACAUAUGCACACAUAUGAAUCUACACAUGCACAUGUGUGCACACAUGCACACACACGCCUAAGCACACAUGUACACACACAUACCAUGUGCACACUCGCACAAGUGUGCACACAUGUACACACAGGCAUGCUCACACACCUGAGCACACACAUGUACACACAUACACCCACGUGCACACACACACACACACAAACACACACAUACACACAACCUGCCUAGUUUCCCCUUUCCCCUUUCCUUCAUUACACGCAGUUACAUUGAUCUUCUAGGGGUAUCUUCCUUUUCUCUGCACAUAUUACCCUCCUCCAGAUACCCACCUGACUUUCUCCUUUAUUUUUUCCUUCUGGCUUAUGUUGUAUUAUUUCCAGUAAUAGACUCAUAUUCGUAGACACUCUAAUCUCCCUGGUUUUAUUGCAGAAGAAAAUAAGCAAGCUGACGCAUUAACCUGACCUAUUUUUCUCCAGAAGAAAAUUGAGACGGGAUAUGCAUCUGUCAUUGCAAAUGUAUCCACUGAAACAUUAUGGAUUCCGCUCUGGCUUCUCUAGCUCUAAGUCAUCAAGGACACCUGCAGAGUGUGAGGAAGACAGUGUGAAUCAGAAAGAUAGCACGCCUCCAGCUGAAGAGCAAACGUCAAGAUUCUGACAUAGCAUCAGAAGUCAAGUCUGCCCUCCUGGGUCCAAGCAAAGGCCCUAUGGACCAAGGGAGAAGCCAUUCUACUAAUGCCUCUGUCUAUGACUAAACCAUGGGUGCAUAAUAGACCCAUUCAUUCAUCUGGAGACAGGAUUGCAUUUAAUUUUGGGGGGGGGGAUUUAAAUCACUUCCUGUUUGUAUAGAACAUAACAUUUGUAUUCUGAUUAGAGUCUAAUAUGGACUUAUAUUCUAUAAGAUACUCAAGCUACUAAUCACAUGGGUCUCUUUUCAAGCUGUUCUUUAGAUUAUUCUGAUCAAUAUAAUAAUAAUCAAUAGUACUAGACAUAGUUCAGAUCCUUGUUCUUGAUGGCAGAGUAUUACACGCAAUGCUUUCACUGUUCUAAUAUAGUUUUCUUGCUUGUAGGAUACUCCAGCAUCAGAUGACAAUUAGAUCUAUCUACAACAUCUCAAAUCAAAACCACUCUGGAGAUCCUACUAAUAAAAAAAUAAAGUGGGGAGAGAUGUCAGAACACAGUUCAAGAACACAGUCAUUUGAGAAUUCUGAGUGCUGUUGAGAAAACUCUGAGAAAAAUAGACAAGAGUCUUGUAACCUAAGUUUCUCCAAAACACAGAGUUGUUUUUGGAAUGUGUUUUUUCUGCCCCUCGUAGGUGUGGGGCAUAGAGUGAGUUUACUUCAGCUGUUAUUCAUGUGUUACAACAGAAAAACACUAUUGCUGUGUGUAGCCUGUCCUGUGAGUGAACACCUUACUCAUGUGAUUCUUCUAAACACUCAGGGUAUAAAUUGUCUGGUGUUCUGAAUAAAGUCAGCUAUUUCACGAGACUUUAGUCUGUCUCAUUUUUAGGCCUUGCUCUCCCAAAUUCACACCACCAAUAAGAGCAGUA
rnacentral:lncRNA from 1 species